UACGUAGGGGGCAAGCGUUGUCCGGAAUUAUUGGGCGUAAAGAGCGUGUAGGCGGUCCGGUAAGUCAGCUGUGAAAGUCAAGGGCUCAACCCUUGAAAGCCGGUUGAUACUGUCGGGCUAGAGUCCGGAAGAGGCGAGUGGAAUUCCCGGUGUAGCGGUGAAAUGCGCAGAUAUCAGGAGGAACACCGGUGGCGAAGGCGGGUCUCUGGGCCGUAACUGACGCUGAGGAGCGAAAGCAUGGGGAGCGAACAGG
rnacentral:rRNA from 1 species